rnacentral:rRNA from 1 species
GGCCAGACUCCUACGGGAGGCAGCAGUGGGGGAUAUUGCACAAUGGGGGGAACCCUGAUGCAGCGACGCCACGUGGGUGAAGAAGCGCCUCGGCGCGUAAAGCCCUGUCAGCAGGGAAGAAAAUGACGGUACCUGAAGAAGAAGCCCCGGCUAACUACGUGCCAGCAGCCGCGGUAAUACGUAGGGGGCAAGCGUUAUCCGGAUUUACUGGGUGUAAAGGGGGCGCAGACGGCGAUGCAAGCCAGGAGUGAAAGCCCGGGGCCCAACCCCGGGACUGCUCUUGGAACUGCGUGGCUGGAGUGCAGGAGGGGCAGGCGGAAUUCCUGGUGUAGCGGUGAAAUGCGUAGAUAUCAGGAGGAACACCGGUGGCGAAGGCGGCCUGCUGGACUGCAACUGACGUUGAGGCCCGAAAGCGUGGGGAGCAAACAGGAUUAGAUACCCCCGUAC